UACGUAGGGCGCAAGCGUUGUCCGGAAUUAUUGGGCGUAAAGAGCUCGUAGGCGGCUUGUCACGUCGGUUGUGAAAGCCCGGGGCUUAACCCCGGGUCUGCAGUCGAUACGGGCAGGCUAGAGUGUGGUAGGGGAGAUCGGAAUUCCUGGUGUAGCGGUGAAAUGCGUAGAUAUCAGGAGGAACACCGGUGGCGAAGGCGGGUCUCUGGGCCGUAACUGACGCUGAGGAGCGAAAGCAUGGGGAGCGAACAGG
rnacentral:rRNA from 1 species